rnacentral:rRNA from 1 species
AUUGAACGCUGGCGGCAGGCCUAACACAUGCAAGUCGAGCGGUAGCACGGAGAAGCUUGCUUCUUGGGUGACGAGCGGCGGACGGGUGAGUAACGCGUGGGAAUCUACCUGGUAGUGGGGGACAACAGUCGGAAACGACUGCUAAUACCGCAUACGCCCCUUGGGGGAAAGUGGGGGAUCUUCAGACCUCACGCUAUCAGAAGAGCCCGCGUCGGAUUAGCUGGGUGGUGGGGUAAGAGCCCACCAGGGCGAUGAUCCGUAGCUGGUCUGAGAGGAUGACCAGCCACACUGGGACUGACACACGGCCCACACUCCUACGGGAGGCAGCAGUGGGGAAUAUUGGACAAUGGGGGCAACCCUGAUCCAGCCAUGCCGCGUGUGUGAAGAAGGCCUUCGGGUUGUAAAGCACUUUCAGCUGUGAGGAAAGGUGAGUGGUUAAUACCCGCUUACUGUGACGUUAACAGCAGAAGAAGGACCGGCUAACUCCGUGCCAGCAGCCGCGGUAAUACGGAGGGUCCGAGCGUUAAUCGGAAUUACUGGGCGUAAAGCGCGCGUAGGUGGUUCAGUCAGUCAGAUGUG